AGCAGUAUCAGAGUCAGCUCUUCCAGCCAGCUGAAGAUGUUGAAGGGAAAGCCGAAAUCAUCAUCAAGCAAUCUUGUGUCAACUGUGGCCGAGAAGCCAUGAACGAGUGCACAGGCUGCCACAAGGUCAACUAUUGCUCUACUUUCUGCCAGCGGAAGGACUGGAAGGAGCACCAGCACAUGUGCGGUCAGUCAGCCACAGUCACUGUCCAGGCCGAUGAAGUCCAUGUCACUGAGAGUGUUAUCCAGAAGGUCACUGUGUGAAUGAGAGCAGGAGCACCCCCAGGGCCAGGUGGCACUGUGACAUCCCCCAGCAGGGGGGUGGGGGUGGACAGGGGCUGGCCAUGGAACCUGGAUAUUUCAGAGGACUCCCCCUCUCUUCUUCCCUUGGUGUUCUUCUCCCACUCAGUCCAUCAUGGCCCUGGACAGUUUUGGCUGACCCUUUUUCCUGAAGAAAAUGGGCAUGGCUGGGUUCUCUCUGGAGAGAAUGGUGUGGUGGCCUCUGGCCUCUUCCUAAAAGCAGCCUGGGGCCCCUGUGGUUGGGGAGGACUCUGAAGGAGGCUCAGAUCCCAGUGACCCCUGUGGCUUCCGUCAUGAGGCCACAGUGAUCUUUGGACCUCCCUGGGGAAAAUGCUGUCUUCCCUGGGAAGCAGUGAAGGCCCCUCAGCCUGAGACUCUGGACUUUUGCAUGGGCCAUGCCCAAGGAUGAGUAGUGCAGGGCUCCAGGAGCCUCCAACAUGCAGCCCCUGGGGGGGUGGGGUCAGCACAAGAGCUGACUGACUGACAGGUUCUGCCAGGCUAGAAAGGCUUCUAGCACAUGCCUCCCUCAACAGACUGAAUCCCCUCCCUGUCCUGGGGCACCUUUGGCCACAGGAACUCAUGAAGCAUCGAGUCUAGGCUACCUGGUACCCCCAGCCUCUGCAGGGACAAAUAUUACUGUGGCUUUUAGAAAAUCUAAAUAAAAGAUUUCACCACCACAAGCACUUAGUAAGUGGGCAAGACACUGCUAAGUGAGAGAAAUACAAAAAAAAAAAUGGUCCCUGCCCUCAAGGCGCUUACCUUCUCCUAGGGUAGGCAAGAUGUUGACAGAUAAGCCAGUGCUGGCCUAUCCUAAUUCUACUGGCCUGUAAAAUGUGGGGGUUGCCCUGGGUGGCCUUUAAGAGCCCUUCUAUCUCUUUAGUCUGUGAACCUAAAACAGGGGAGGGCACACUAGUUCCUGGGGCCUUGGAAUAAAUGGAGGGGAUAUUUGAGCUGAGUCUCAGAGAUGUACAUGAGAAGGGAGGGCUGCCAGGUCCUGGACAGCCCCAGACACAAAGGGUCGAGCAGGAGGAGGAGGAGCGUGGGGCAGGCGCCCUUGGCAGGAUUUGUUAGAGUUCUGGUGGGGAGGCUGCCCUCACUCUACCUUAGCCAAAGCCCUGCUCUACUCCUGGCUGAUGGGUCUGGGGCUCUCCCAUGCCCUGAUUAGGAUUUUGCUCCAUGCUGAUGAGGGAAGAGAUUAUGGCUAUUAUUUCAGAGUGAACUCUUUGGCUACAUGGCAGCUAGGAGCUGGGCCAGGAGGCUGCUGCACAGUGAGAAUGGGAGGGAACUCUGCUGUUUCACUUCUGGAAAAUUUGCUUGUUCAUUCUCUUCCCCUUCCUCCCCUCCUCAAUUGACUCCUGUUCUCAGGCCUCCAAGCUUAAAA